GACGAACGCUGGCGGCGUGCUUAACACAUGCAAGUCGAGCGGUAAGGCCCUUUCGGGGGUACACGAGCGGCGAACGGGUGAGUAACACGUGGGUGACCUGCCCUCAGCUCUGGGAUAAGCCUGGGAAAUCGGGUCUAAUACCGGAUAUGACUCCAUGACGCAUGUUGUGGGGUGGAAAGCCUUGUGCGGCUGAGGAUGGGCCCGCGGCCUAUCAGCUUGUUGGUGGGGUGANGGCCUACCAAGGCGACGACGGGUAGCCGGCCUGAGAGGGCGACCGGCCACACUGGGACUGAGACACGGCCCAGACUCCUACGGGAGGCAGCAGUGGGGAAUCUUGCGCAAUGGGCGAAAGCCUGACGCAGCGACGCCGCGUGAGGGAUGACGGCCU
rnacentral:rRNA from 1 species